rnacentral:lncRNA from 1 species
GCCAAGCACAGAGAUCACAAUUGACCGGCCAGUGAAAUUAAAUGCGUUUAAACAAAUAGGGCAUCAUUGACUGUUUUUUUUAUUUUCUGUAACGGGGAAGUAAUCGUAAAUGCACAUGUGCUUUUGAAAUUUGUUGUGAUCCUCAUUAAUUUGCUUUGAUAACGCCAUGUGACAUCAGUGACAAUAGAACUAAUAAACCAUCGCUUUAUUAUUAAUUCUGAACCAGACUACACAUCGAAUAAAUAGUUAAAUCAACCGGUCGUUUGAUCACAAUAUUGCAUCGGUCGAAAUCCAAUUAUGGCGACAGUUUACCUUGCUUAUAUCUUCAUUCGUUAUUAUGAAACUUUCUAUGUAAAUGUAAAAUAUUCAGCCCUUUCAAACUGAAACAAUUGCUGUCCGAAUAGUAUUAAAGCAUUUUUGAACGCAAUAAGAGCAUGGCACUAGCUGUACACAAGGUAUAUGACUUAACGUCCUCAUCUUAACUGGACGUGGCAUCGUUAUUAUACAAAAGUUAUAAACAAAACCGCCACUUCAUGUACACUUCAAAUAGCCCUCUCUAUUCUUCCUGCACUUGAAAGCGCACUUUUAUUCCGGUGUGUAGAUUUUCCGAUGAGUAAAUGUACAAAAGUGUUGCCAUUCUGUAAAAAACUGAGUCUGAAACAGAAUAAACAUUCAGGUAAAUUGUGUAAAUUUUGAUAGAGACAGGUUUCUUUUUCCAAACACAAGGUCAUUUUCUUACUUUCACUUGGUAUCCGUCAUUGUAUUAUUCGCUGGAAGCAUAACUUCAACUUGAUGCAUAUAACAUAAAGUAUCCGUGUGUAUAAUUUUUCCAUGAUAAUAUACCCUAGUGUAUAAUUUCAACAUAUAUUUUUACAUGCAGGCUGAUUUUGAUAUUUUGAACCUCGUCAUGUC